rnacentral:rRNA from 1 species
AUUGAACGCUGGCGGCAGGCCUAACACAUGCAAGUCGAGCGGAUGAAGGGAGCUGGCUCCUGGAUUCAGCGGCGGACGGGUGAGUAAUGCCUAGGAAUCUGCCUGGUAGUGGGGGAUAACGUCCGGAAACGGGCGCUAAUACCGCAUACGUCCUGAGGGAGAAAGUGGGGGAUCUUCGGACCGCACGCUAUCAGAUGAGCCUAGGUCGGAUUAGCUAGUUGGUGGGGUAAAGGCCUACCAAGGCGACGAUCCGUAACUGGUCUGAGAGGAUGAUCAGUCACACUGGAACUGAGACACGGUCCAGACUCCUACGGGAGGCAGCAGUGGGGAAUAUUGGACAAUGGGCGAAAGCCUGAUCCAGCCAUGCCGCGUGUGUGAAGAAGGUCUUCGGAUUGUAAAGCACUUUAAGUUGGGAGGAAGGGCAGUAAGUUAAUACCUUGCUGUUUUGACGUUACCAACAGAAUAAGCACCGGCUAACUUCGUG